UUUUACACUUCCCACUUGGCUGUAUGGUAUACAGGUGUGUGCCUACGCGCCGGGAAAAAGUUAUGUUCGGUUGACAUUUCGUUUACGCGAUGACGAUGGCAAUUUAGUCCCGUCGCGAUUAUUUCUUUGGAGUGGUGUAUAAGCCACAUAUAUUACGAUGAAAGGAUGGUGAAGUCUUCUGUAUAAAAACAAUGGUUUAGUCCAUCGACUAGGGGGAAUGCUGCUAUAAUAUCGUCCCACGUGAUGUGGGGUCAAAGUCCACCGGCAGAGUCCAGUGUUAAAGUUCUACUAGAAUGAUCAACUGUAAAGACUAACUUCAAAAAUCAACUUCAAGGUCUUCCUUCAGGGUCUAGCUCCCCAACCAUGACUACCAUUUGUGUUCAUUAUCUACUUUUGCCGUCAGUGUCAGUUCCUGCUGCGGUUAUUAAUGUACAUAAUUCAUAAUUCCAGUUUGGUGUUAAAAUCUCUGGAUACCAUCUAGAUAUCUCUUCUUCAUGAUUAAUUUAACUUAUUAUGGAUAGUGCCAUGCUCUCAAGAUGUUAUUCAACUAAUACAUGGAGUAUUUAUCCUCAAUACAUACUUCAUGCCUUUUUGUCAGGACCUGCCGUCCUGACACUUAACUUUUCCUCAUAGGGAUAAUACCUAGUUGUUUAGGAAUAAUACUAAGUUAAGAUACCAUGUUAUAGUAAUAGAUUUAUUUCUUAAUUUACCUUAGGAUGUUUUGUAACCGACUGACUUCAUAUAAUUUUAUUUUGAAAUUGUUGAAUCAAUAAUACCUUUGUUAAAAGUGAAA